CCUACGUGCGGCAGCAGUGAGGAAUAUUGGUCAAUGGGCGCGAGCCUGAACCAGCCAAGUAGCGUGAAGGAUGACUGCCCUACGGGUUGUAAACUUCUUUUAUAAAGGAAUAAAGUGAGGCACGUGUGCCUUUUUGUAUGUACUUUAUGAAUAAUGAUCGGCUAACUCCGUGCCAGCAGCCGCGGUAAUACGGAGGAUCCGGGCGUUAUCCGGAUUUAUUGGGUUUAAAGGUAGCGUAGAUGGGUUGUUAAGUCAGUUGUGAAAGUUUUCGGAUCAACCGUAAAAUUGCAAUUGAUACUGGCAGUCUUGAGUACAGUUGAGGUAGGCGGAAUUCGUGGUGUAGCGGUGAAAUGCUUAGAUAUCACGAAGAACUCCGAUUGCGAAGGCAGCUUACUAAACUGCCACUGACAUUGAUGCUCGAAAGUGUGGGUAUCAAACAGGAUUAGAUACCCCGGUAGUC
rnacentral:rRNA from 1 species